rnacentral:rRNA from 1 species
GACGAACGCUGGCGGCGUGCUUAACACAUGCAAGUCGAACGGAAAGGCCCUGCUUGCGGGGUACUCGAGUGGCGAACGGGUGAGUAACACGUGGGUGCUCUGCCCUGCUCUUCGGGAUAAGCCUGGGAAACUGGGUCUAAUACCGGAUAUGACCUUUCUUGAAGUGUGGGGGGUGGAAAGAUUUAUCGGUGUGGGAUGAGCCGGCGGCUUAUCAGCUUGUUGGUGGGGUAAUGGCCUACCAAGGCGUCGACGGGUAGCCGGCCUGAGAGGGUGGACGGCCACAUUGGGACUGAGAUACGGCCCAGACUCCUACGGGAGGCAGCAGUGGGGAAUAUUGCACAAUGGCCGGAAGCCUUAUGCAGCGACGCCGCGUGGGGGAUGCCGGCCUUCGGGUUGUAAACCUCUUUCGACGGGGACGAAGCUUCGGUGACGGUACCUGUAGAAGAAGCACCGGCUAACUACGUG